rnacentral:rRNA from 1 species
CCUACGGGUGGCAGCAGUGAGGAAUAUUGGUCAAUGGGCGCGAGCCUGAACCAGCCAAGUAGCGUGAAGGAUGACUGCCCUACGGGUUGUAAACUUCUUUUAUAAAGGAAUAAAGUGAGCCACGCGUGCCGUUUUGUAUGUACUUUAUGAAUAAGGAUCGGCUAACUCCGUGCCAGCAGCCGCGGUAAUACGGAGGAUUCGAGCGUUAUCCGGAUUUAUUGGGUUUAAAGGGAGCGUAGAUGGGUUGUUAAGUCAGUUGUGAAAGUUUGCGGCUCAACCGUAAAAUUGCAAUUGAUACUGGCAGUCUUGAGUACAGGUGAGGUAGGCGGAAUGCGUGGUGUAGCGGUGAAAUGCGUAGAUAUCACGAAGAACUCCGAUUGCGAAGGCAGCUUACUAGACUGCAACUGACGUUGAUGCUCGAAAGUGUGGGUAUCAAACAGGAUUAGAUACCCGAGUAGUC